AGAGUUUGAUCCUGGCUCAGAACGAGCGCUGGCGGCGUGCCUAAUACAUGCAAGUCGAACGAGAAAGUGACUUCGGUCAUGAGUAAAGUGGCAGACGGGUGAGUAAUACAUAGGUAACCUGCCUCCGAGAUGGGGAUAACCUUCCGAAAGGAGGGCUAAUACCGAAUGAGACCUCGGCUACUCCGGUAGCUGCGGUUAAAGAUGGCCUCUACUUGUAAGCUAUCGCUUGGAGAUGGGCUUAUGCACCAUUAGCCUGUUGGUGAGGUAACGGCUCACCAAAGCUUUGAUGGUUAGCUGAUCUGAGAGGUUGAUCAGCCACACUGGAACUGAGACACGGUCCAGACUCCUACGGGAGGCAGCAGUAGGGAAUAUUGCGCAAUGGAGGAAACUCUGACGCAGCGACGCCGCGUGGGUGAUGAAGGCCUUCGGGUCGUAAAGCCCUGUCGAAAGGGAAGAAAAACGAUAUGGCUAAUAUCUAUAUCGCUUGACGGUACCUUUAGAGGAAGCACCGGCUAACUACGUGCCAGCAGCCGCGGUAAGACGUAGGGCGCGAGCGUUGUCCGGGUUUAUUGGGCGUAAAGAGCUCGUAGGCGGCUUGUCGCGUCGACUGUGAAAACCCGUGGCUCAACCAUGUGGUCUGCAGUCGAUACGGGCAGGCUAGAAUUCGGUAGGGGAGACUGGAAUUCCUGGUGUAGCGGUGAAAUGCGCAGAUAUCAGGAGGAACACCGGUGGCGAAGGCGGGUCUCUGGGCCGAUAUUGACGCUGAGGAGCGAAAGCGUGGGGAGCGAACAGGAUUAGAUACCCUGGUAGUCCACGCUGUAAACGUUGGGCGCUAGGUGUGGGGGGCCUCUCCGGUCCUCUGUGCCGCAGCUAACGCAUUAAGCGCCCCGCCUGGGGAGUACGGCCGCAAGGCUAAAACUCAAAGGAAUUGACGGGGGCCCGCACAAGCGGCGGAGCAUGCGGAUUAAUUCGAUCCACGCGAAGAACCUUACCUGGGUUUGACAUGGGCGCUAAAGCCGCAGAGAUGUGGUGUCCUUCGGGGGCGUUCACAGGUGGUGCAUGGCUGUCGUCAGCUCGUGUCGUGAGAUGUUGGGUUAAGUCCCGCAACGAGCGCAACCCUUAUUCCAUGUUGCCAGCGGGUAGUGCCGGGGACUCAUGGGAGACUGCCGGGGUCAACUCGGAGGAAGGUGGGGAUGACGUCAAGUCAUCAUGCCCCUUAUGUCCAGGGCUUCACGCAUGCUACAAUGGCCGGUACAAAGGGCUGCGAUACCGCAAGGUGGAGCGAAUCCCAAAAAGCCGGUCUCAGUUCGGAUCGGGGUCUGCAACUCGACCCCGUGAAGUCGGAGUCGCUAGUAAUCGCAGAUCACAACGCUGCGGUGAAUACGUUCCCGGGCCUUGUACACACCGCCCGUCACGUCACGAAAGUCGGCAACACCCGAAGCCGGUGGCCUAACCCCUUGUGGGAGGGAGCCGUCGAACGUGGGGCUGGCGAUUGGGACGAAGUCGUAACAAGGUA
rnacentral:rRNA from 1 species